AUGAACCUGGCAGGACGGAGGGUGCUCGUCAGAAGUGUGCUAUCGGCCCUGCCAACGUUUGCAAUGACAACUCUAAAAUUCCCAAAGAAGAUACUGAAAGAGAUGGACAAGGCGCCAAGGCGUUUUCUUUGGUGUCAGGAGGAGGAGGUCGCCGGAGGCAAAUGCAAAGUGUCCUGGAACACAGUGUGCUCGCCGAUCGAGGAGGGGGGGCUCGGCAUCCUGAAUAUGUCAAAAUUCAGCAGAGCACUGAGGAUGAGGUGGCUAUGGUUGGAAUGGCAGCUUCCACGACUGCCACGGGUAGGUUUGGAUAUCCCAUGCGACGACCGAGACCGGGAGGCUUUUGUCGAGGCCACUUCCAUCUCCAUCAGGGACGGCAGAACGGCGAGCUUCUGGAAGAGCCGAUGGAUUGGAACCGAGCCGCUUCGGCGAAGUUUCCCGGCAAUAUUCAUGCACUCGAGAGGCUUUAGAUGUUAG
rnacentral:rRNA from 1 species